rnacentral:rRNA from 1 species
CGUAGGGGCGAGCGUUAUCCGGAUUUACUGGGCGUAAAGCGCGUUAAGGCGGUUGGCAAAGUUGGUGGUGAAAUCUCAGGGCUCAACCCUGAAACUGCCUCCAAUACUGGUCGACUAGAGUGUGAGAGAGGAAGGUGGAAUUCCCGGUGUAGUAGUGAAAUGCGUAGAUAUCGGGAGGAACACCAGUGGCGAAGGCGGCCUUCUGGCUCACAACUGACGCUGUAGCGCGAAAGCGUGGGGAGCGAACGGGAUUAGAUACCCCGGUAGUCCACGCCCUAAACGAUGUGAACUAGGUGUUGGGCGUAUUGACGCGCUCAGUGCCGUAGCUAACGCAUUAAGUUCACCGCCUGGGGAGUACGGCCGCAAGGUUA